rnacentral:rRNA from 1 species
ACGCGUUAAGUCGACCGCCUGGGGAGUACGGCCGCAAGGUUAAAACUCAAAUGAAUUGACGGGGGCCCGCACAAGCGGUGGAGCAUGUGGUUUAAUUCGAUGCAACGCGAAGAACCUUACCUACUCUUGACAUCCAGAGAACUUAGCAGAGAUGCUUUGGUGCCUUCGGGAACUCUGAGACAGGUGCUGCAUGGCUGUCGUCAGCUCGUGUUGUGAAAUGUUGGGUUAAGUCCCGCAACGAGCGCAACCCUUAUCCUUUGUUGCCAGCGGUUAGGCCGGGAACUCAAAGGAGACUGCCAGUGAUAAACUGGAGGAAGGUGGGGAUGACGUCAAGUCAUCAUGGCCCUUACGAGUAGGGCUACACACGUGCUACAAUGGCGCAUACAAAGAGAAGCGACCUCGCGAGAGCAAGCGGACCUCAUAAAGUGCGUCGUAGUCCGGAUUGGAGUCUGCAACUCGACUCCAUGAAGUCGGAAUCGCUAGUAAUCGUAGAUCAGAAUGCUACGGUGAAUACGUUCCCGGGCCUUGUACACACCGCCCGUCACACCAUGGGAGUGGGUUGCAAAAGAAGUAGGUAGCUUAACCUUCGGGAGGGCGCUUACCACUUUGUGAUUCAUGA